rnacentral:rRNA from 1 species
GAUGAACGCUGGCGGCGUGCUUAACACAUGCAAGUCGAACGAGAAUCAACGGAUUGAGGAUUCGUCCAAAUGAAGUUGAGGAAAGUGGCGGACGGGUGAGUAACGCGUGAGGAACCUGCCUCGGAGUGGGGAAUAACAGUUGGAAACAGCUGCUAAUACCGCAUAAUGCAACGAAAUCGCAUGACUUUGUUGCCAAAGAUUUUAAUCGCUGGAAGAUGAGCUCGCGGCCCGAUUAGGUAGUUGGUGAGAUAACAGCCCACCAAGCCGACGAUCGGUAGCCGGACUGAGAGGUUGAUCGGCCACAUUGGGACUGAGACACGGCCCAG